rnacentral:rRNA from 1 species
UACGUAGGGGGCAAGCGUUGUCCGGAUUUAUUGGGCGUAAAGAGCGUGUAGGCGGUUUGGUAGGUCCGUUGUGAAAACUCGAGGCUCAACCUCGAGACGCCGAUGGAAACCAUCAGACUAGAGUCCGGAAGAGGAGAGUGGAAUUCCUGGUGUAGCGGUGAAAUGCGCAGAAUAUCAGGAAGAACACCCGUGGCUAAGGCGGGUCUCUGGGCAGUGAACUGACGCUGAGGAGCGAAAGCGUGGGGAGCGAACAGG